GGAUCGAUAUGUUGGUCGUGCCUUGGUACGUACUAGUAUUAUUGGUUUCUCCCUUCUGAUGAAUCAUGAUGUCAUUAAUUUGAUGUCAUGGGGAAUCAGGACUGUUACUUUGAAAAAAUUAGAGUGUUUAAAGCAGGCUCGCGCUUGAAUACAUUAGCACGGAAUAAUGAAAUAGGACGUUUGAUUCUAUUUUGUUGGUUUCUAGGAUUGAUGUA
rnacentral:rRNA from 1 species